rnacentral:rRNA from 1 species
GGGGGACAACAGUUGGAAACGACUGCUAAUACCGCAUAAUGUCUACGGACCAAAGGGGGCUUCGGCUCUCGCCUUUAGAUUGGCCCAAGUGGGAUUAGCUAGUUGGUGAGGUAAUGGCUCACCAAGGCGACGAUCCCUAGCUGGUUUGAGAGGAUGAUCAGCCACACUGGGACUGAGACACGGCCCAGACUCCUACGGGAGGCAGCAGUGGGGAAUAUUGCACAAUGGGCGCAAGCCUGAUGCAGCCAUGCCGCGUGUGUGAAGAAGGCCUUCGGGUUGUAAAGCACUUUCAGUCAGGAGGAAAGCGUGGUGGUUAAUACCCGUCAUGUGUGACGUUACUGACAGAAGAAGCACCGGCUAACUCCGUGCCAGCAGCCGCGGUAAUACGGAGGGUGCGAGCGUUAAUCGGAAUUACUGGGCGUAAAGCGUACGCAGGCGGUUUGUUAAGCGAGAUGUGAAAGCCCCGGGCUC